UGGGGAAUUUUGGACAAUGGGCGAAAGCCUGAUCCAGCAAUGCCGCGUGUGUGAAGAAGGCCUUCGGGUUGUAAAGCACUUUUGUCCGGAAAGAAAUCCUUGGCUCUAAUACAGUCGGGGGAUGACGGUACCGGAAGAAUAAGCACCGGCUAACUACGUGCCAGCAGCCGCGGUAAUACGUAGGGUGCAAGCGUUAAUCGGAAUUACUGGGCGUAAAGCGUGCGCAGGCGGUUUGCUAAGACCGAUGUGAAAUCCCCGGGCUCAACCUGGGAACUGCAUUGGUGACUGGCAGGCUAGAGUAUGGCAGAGGGGGGUAGAAUUCCACGUGUAGCAGUGAAAUGCAUAGAGAUGUGGAGGAAUACCGAUGGCGAAGGCAGCCCCCUGGGCCAAUACUGACGCUCAUGCACGAAAGCGUGGGGAGCAAACAGGAUUAGAUACCCUGGUAGUCCACGCCCUAAACGAUGUCAACUAGUUGUUGGGGAUUCAUUUCCUUAGUAACGUAGCUAACGCGUGAAGUUGACCGCCUGGGGAGUACGGUCG
rnacentral:rRNA from 1 species